AACGAACGCUGGCGGCAUGCCUAACACAUGCAAGUCGAACGAGACCUUCGGGUCUAGUGGCGCACGGGUGCGUAACGCGUGGGAACCUGCCCUUAGGUUCGGAAUAACUCCCCGAAAGGGGUGCUAAUACCGGAUAAUGUCUUCGGACCAAAGAUUUAUCGCCUUUGGAUGGGCCCGCGUUGGAUUAGCUAGUUGGUAGGGUAAAAGCCUACCAAGGCGACGAUCCAUAGCUGGUCUGAGAGGAUGAUCAGCCACACUGGGACUGAGACUCGGCCCAGACUCCUACGGGAGGCAGCAGUGGGGAAUAUUGGACAAUGGGCGAAAGCCUGAUCCAGCAAUGCCGGGUGAGUGAUGAAGGCCUUAGGGUUGUAAAGCUCUUUUAACCGGGAUGAUAAUGACAGUACCGGGAGAAUAAGCUCCGGCUAACUCCGUG
rnacentral:rRNA from 1 species